rnacentral:lncRNA from 1 species
AUGACUCGUGUGGAAUGGGCAGGCCAGCGACUUCCAGAAGUGGUAACAGAUGAAAUACCCUGGGGGAUUCAAGAAGGAACUGGAAAAGGAACUGGAAGGCAGGGAUUAGCUCGAUGUUCUGAUGGCCGGCGGAGAUCUGAAUCUGGAAGAACGCACCCUCGUCCCUAUUUUCCAAUAUGGACGGCGUUGAGGAGGUUGAUGACCGGGGCCAGGCGUCCUUGGAAAACUACAAGAUUAAGGUGCUUACAGUCUGAAGGGGGAACACACGAGGUGUUUCGGGACCCCCACAGA